rnacentral:sRNA from 1 species
UACAAUGUUUGUAUUUGAAGUCCUUGA